AACUCAGUUGAGCCCUAAAAGUAUAACUUUACAACUAGUACUUUUUCUCAUUCAAUCGAACAAAGAGCAAAACCUAAUUUUAUUGUUCUAUUAUGCCACGGGAGUGUAAAUUUGGAACGAAUCGAUGUCAACGUUCACUAGACCCAAAACCGGAACAACAUUAGACAACUCAGUUGUCCCAUAACAGUAUAACUUUGCAACGAGUACUUUUUCUCAUUCUAUCGAAUAAGGAGUAAAAGCUUUCUAUUAUGCCCUGAGAGUGUAAAUUGAACGAAUCGAUGUCAACGUUCACAAGAACCAAAAUUGGAACAAAGUUAGGCUACUCAGUUGAGCCCUAAUAGUAUAACUUUGCAACCAGUACAUUUUUUCAUUCAAUCGAACAAAGUGCAAGAACUAAUUAUAUGGUUCUAUUAUGCCCCGAGAGUUUAAAUUUGGAACGAAUCGAUAUAAACGUUCACAAGACCCAAAAUCGGAACAAAGUUAGACUACUCAGUUGAGCCCUAAAAGUAUAACUUUACAACUAGUACUUUUUCUCAUUCGAUCGAACAAAGAGCAAAACCUAAUUUUAUUGUUCUAUUAUGCUCCGGGAGUGUAAAUUUGGAACGAAUCGAUGUCAACGUUUACAAGAACCAAAACCGGAACAAUAUUAGACUACUCAGUUGAGCGCUAACAGUAUAACUUUGCAACUAGUACUUUUUCUCAUUCAAUCGAUCAAAGAGCAAAACCUAAUUAUAUUCUUCUAUUAUGCCCCGAGAGUGUAAAUUUGGAACGAAUCGAUGUAAACGUUCACAAGAACCAAAACCGGAACAAAGUUAUACUACUCAGUUGAGCCCAAACAGUAUAACUUUGCAACUAGUACUUUUUCUCCUUCAAUCGAACAAAGAGCAAAACCAAAUUAUAUUGUUCUAUUAUACCCCGAGAGUGUAAAUUUGGAACGAAUCGAUGUCAACGUUCACAAGAACCAAAACCGGAACAAGAUUAGACUACUCAGUUGCGCCACAACAGUAUAACUUUGCAACGAUUACUUUUUCUCAUUCUAUCGAACAAAGGGUAAAACCUUUCUAUUAUGCCCCGAAAGUGUAAAUUUGGAACGAAUCGAUGUGAACGUUCACAAGAACCAAAACCGGAACAAAUUAUACUACUCAUUGCGCCGUAACAGUAUAACUUUGCAACUAGUACUUUUUCUCAUUCAAUCGAACAAAGAGCAAAACCUAAUUAUAUUCUUCUAUUAUGCCCCGAGAGUGUAAAUUUGGAAUGAAUCGAUGUAAACGUUCACAAGAACCAAAACCGGAACAAAGCUAGACUACUCAGUUGAGCCCUAACUGUAUAACUUUGCAACGAGUACUUUUUAUCAUUCUAUUGAAUAAGUAGUAAAAGCUUUCUAUUAUGCCCCGAGAGUGUAAAUUUGGAACGAAUCGAUGUAAAUGAUCACAAGAACCAAAACCGGAACAAAGUUAUACUACUCAGUUGAGCCCUAACAGUAUAACUUUGCAACUAGUACUUUUUCUCAUUCAAUCGAACAAAGAGCAAAACCAAAUUAUAUUGUUCUAUUAUACCCCGAGAGUGUAAAUUUGGAACGAGUCGAUGUCAACGUUCACAAGAACCAAAACCGGAACAACAUUAGAUUACUCAGUUGCGCCAUAACAGUAUAACUUUGUAACGAGUUCUUUUUCUCAUUCUAUCGAACUAGGAGUAAAAACUUUCUAUUAUGCCCCGAGAGUGUAAAUUUGGAACGAAUCAAUGUAAACGAUCAAAAGAACCAAAAUCGGAACAAAAUUAGACUACUCAGUUGCGCCGUAACAAUAUAACUUUGCAACUAGUACUUUUUCUCAUUCAAUCAAACAAAGAGCAAAACCUAAUUAUAGUGUUCUAU
rnacentral:lncRNA from 1 species